rnacentral:lncRNA from 1 species
GCUUCUGCAAUUUGAAGGCUUGAAAUCGUAUAUAUAGCUUCCUCCUGGGAUGGAAGAAAAGACAAUAUGAUGAUUGAAUAGAGAAUAUUGAGUUUCUUUUACAAAAGAAAAAAAAAUUACAGGUGAUGCAUUGGAAAGCUGGCCGGAUAAUCUUACUGCCGAAGUCCGAAACGUGGCUUUUAGGCUUUACCUUUUCAGCAGUUCUGACGAGCGCCUUUGCAGAUCAUAGGAGAAUGAAGGCAGAGGGAUUGAAUUUUCUGAAUGUUGCCAUCUCUGUGGACAACUCUUUUUAUAGAAGAAGAUCCAAUCAGACAAAAGACAGAACGGCUGGCAAUGCAUCCCGUCAAAUCUGCUCUUACUAUACAAGCAAUAUGCAUAUGAUUCUAGUUCUGCAAUCCUACCACAGGUAUUCAAAUUGGGCUAAUUCAAAUUUCAUGAUGCCCUUUUCGGCCCUAGCAAAUAUUAAAGCUGUUCAAAAUUGCCUUCCACAAAAC